UUCCGGUUGAUCCUGCCGGACUCUAUUGCUAUCAGGGUAAGACUAAGCCAUGCAAGUCGAUGCCUACAAAAGUAGGCAUGGCGCACGGCUCAGUAAUACAUGGUCAAUCUACCCUUAAGACCGGGAUAAACCCGGGAAACUGGGAUUAAUCCCGGAUAGGUGAUAGCUUCUGGAAUGGGCUAUCACUGAAAGGAUAUUAUGAAUGCUUAAUAUCUGCUUAAGGAUGAGACCAUGGCCGAUCAGGUUGUUGGUGGAGUAACGGUCCACCAAGCCUAUAACCGGUACGGGUCCUGUGAGGGAGAGCCCGGAGAUGGAGUCUGAGACAAGACUCCAGGCCCUACGGGGCGCAGCAGGCGCGAAAAUUCCACAAUGCACGAAAGUGCGAUGGAGUUACCCUGAGUGCCUCCUGCUAAGGGAGGCUUUUGCCUAAUCUAAAAAGUUAGGCGAAUAAGCGGAGGGCAAAUCUGGUGUCAGCCGCCGCGGUAAUACCAGUUCCGCGAGUGAUAGAGGGCUUUAUUGAGCCUAAAGCGUCCGUAGCCGGCCUAGAAAGUUUCUAGUUAAAUCCAACAACUUCAUUGUUGGAAGGCUAGAAAUACUUCUAGGCUAGGAGGCGGGGGAGGCUGACCGUAUUCCUAGGGUAGGGGUGAAAUCCUUUAAUCCUAGGAGGACGACCGAUGGCGAAGGCAGUCAGCCAAAACGCGCUCGACGGUGAGGGACGAAAGCUAGGGGAGCAAACCGGAUUAGAUACCCGGGUAGUCCUAGCUGUAAACGAUGCGGACUAGAUGUUGGCAUAACUUAGGGUUAUGCCAGUGUCGAAGAGAAGUUAUUAAGUCUGCCGCUUGGGGAGUACGGUCGCAAGACUGAAACUUAAAGGAAUUGGUGGGGGAGCACCACAAGGGGAGAAGCCUGCGGUUCAAUUGGAGUCAACGCCGGGAAACUUACCAAGGGAGACAGCUGGAUGAUAGCUGGGUUUAAAAACCUGCUGGACUAGCUGAGAGGUGGUGCAUGGCCGUCGCCAGCUCGUGCCGUGAGGUGUCCUGUUAAAUCAGGAAACGAGCGAGACCUCUAUCUCUAGUUGCUACUAGGUUCCUUCGGGAACCUAGGCACACUAGAGAGACAGCUACCGAAAGGUAGAGGAAGGAAGAGGCUACGGCAGGUCAGUAUGCCCCGAAUCCCUUGGGCCACACGCGGGCUGCAAUGGUCAGGACAGAGGGUUUCCGACCUCGAAAGAGGAAGGCAAUCCCUAAACCUGACCUCAGUUGGAAUUGAGGGUUGCAACCCACCCUCAUAAACAUGGAUUCCCUAGUAACCGCGUGUCAUCAUCGCGCGGUGAAUACGUCCCUGCUCCUUGCACACACCGCCCGUCGCUUCACCCGAGUUGAGCUUAAGUGA
rnacentral:rRNA from 1 species